UACGUAGGGGGCGAGCGUUGUCCGGAUUUAUUGGGCGUAAAGAGCUCGUAGGCGGUUCGGUAAGUCAGAUGUAAAAACUCCAGGCUCAACUUGGAGAGGCCAUCUGAUACUGCCGUGACUAGAGUCCGGUAGAGGAGCACGGAAUUCCUGGUGUAGCGGUGAAAUGCGCAGAUAUCGGGAAGAACACCCGUGGCUAAGGCGGCUCUCUAGUACGGUACUGACGCUGAGACGCGAAAGCGUGGGGAGCGAACAGG
rnacentral:rRNA from 1 species